UACCCAGCACCUUGUGUUUCAAUGGGAAGAGGGACAGGAGUGCCAGGGUAGGGUGGAGUGUUGCUAUACCCAGCACCUUGUGUUUCCGCAGGAGCAGCACAGUGCCACCAGACACCAGUGCCGCAUUUGUGGAGCCUCCUUCAAGCGCCGCAUCUACCUGGAGAAUGUACACAUGCGCACACACCACCCACAGGCACAGCAGAGCACCAUUUAGGAAGGGAAACAGAAGGAAGGGGAGGAGCAGCAGCAGCAGUCACAGCCACGGGCACCGGCGCGGGCACAGUCCCAGGGUGUUCCGGGCAGCCCCAGGGCCAAGGAGGGCGAGGGCGGCCAUAUCUGUCGCAUCUGUGGCCGCACCUCUGCCCGCGCCCGCUACCUCACCUCACACCUGCACACACACUCCCGCCGCGCCUCAUACGUGUGCUGCCCAAGGUGUCCACGCAUGUUUGUGUCACAGCAAACCCUCAAGGUGCACCAGGACACCUUCCACAGGCAGGAUGGAGAGCAGCAGCAUCAGUAGCCAUCAUCCUGAGGGCUGUGUGGCGUCCAUCCUCCCUUGUAUUCAGGACAAAUACACUUACCACAACACAA